rnacentral:ncRNA from 1 species
UCUUAUCGAGAGAAGCAGAGGGACUGGCCCGAUGAAGCUUCAGCAACCAACAAACAUGUCAGGUGCUAAAUCCAGCAGGUGUAUGCCGACAGAUGAGA